rnacentral:tRNA from 1 species
GUGCCUGUGGCUCAAAGGAGUAGGGCACUGGCCCCAUAUGCCAGAAGUGGCUUGGUGCCUGUGGCUCAAGUGGCUAAGAUGCCAGCCGCAUACACCUAAGGUGGCAGGUUCGAAUCCAGCCCGGGCUCG